UGUAAGUGUGAACGGCGAUGAGAACCACCACUUACUGUCUUAGGGGGUUAUGAUGUGCAGCAGCCAUUGCCUGGAAAGCGCUCCAUGCCUGAGACGGCCUUCCCUUGUACUACUCUCCUGUUGAUACCUAAAAUCAUCCCUCAUAUUAGCAUAUCGUGAAAGCAGUUUCUCACCGGGUUAUUGUAUCCUCGGGUGAGUUAGAUAGGACAAAGCAUAGGCCCGCUUUUACACUUCAGGCAAAAAGUUAAGGAACGUUACUUGCCCGACACAAAAUAACUGACUGCCCAAGCACCUGACUUCCGCUCCUCCCAUCUAGGUCUCCUGACUAAUCCCUUUAUCUUUCCAUACCUGGUCCUGAUCUCUAGCAGGACCUAAUUCCAUUCAUAACUGUUGAAAGUAUACCAUGAGCUACCUAUUCAUAAAAACUCCAAAAAGUGUUGAAAUUCUUCUGAGGAUGCAUUUAAGUGGGAUUCUUUUGACCAGAAAUGUGAAAACACAUGUUAUUGGAUUUAUUAAGCAUCUUCCUUGUGCUUAAUAAGUGUUUGAAUUCAGACAUUUCAGGAGUAAGCUUACAUUACCUAACCUCCCUGUUCCUCUCAACUAUCUAAUGUACACAUACAACAAUAUGAACAUGGUGGGGCAUGGUGGCUCACACCUGUAAUCCCAACACUUUGGGAGGCUGAGGCAGGCAGAUCACAUGAGCUCAGGAGUUCAAGACCAGCCUGAGCAACAUGACCAAACACUGUCUCUACUAAAAAUACAAAAAUUAGCCGGAGGUUGAAGUGAGCCAAGACUGCACCUCUGCACUCCAGCCUGGGGGACAGAGCGAGACAAUGUAUCAAAAAAAAAAAAAAAAAAGAAUGCAGUUAGCAGAGAGAUGAGAUAGAGAGUAACCACCCAUUUUACAGAAUAAUAAAAUAUUUUCUCUUUACAACUAACACAGUUUGAAAUGGGAGAUAUGAGCUCUUAGAUUUUGUUCUGAGGUUUAAAAAAGAUCAGAUUCUAUUACAGCACAGUUCACUCAAACAUUGUAGCAUACUCACAUUCUGAGUACUAUUUAUUAUGAACAGAAUUUCAGUGUCACAUGAAGUAAAAGUGGAUUAUCCCAAAACUCAUGGAAUAUAACGAGACUUGACCAGCAUUUCUUUUUUUUUUUUCUUCAGUAACCCACUUAUAAAGAAUAAUAGGGUCCUAAUAAGGACUAAUAAGAUUUAACAAGGAAUAAUUAGAGUUGUUCAUUUCUUCCAUCAUAUACAUUAUGAGUACUGUGCUGGAUCCAGAAAUGCUACUAAUUGUGUUAAAACUGUUGUAUGGGUGUGUUGCAGACAGUCACUGUUUCUCCUGAAAUGUAUGUGAGUUGUUUAGAAGCCUGGUGAGCGUGGUGUUAGCACGAGCAUCGUAUAAAGUUAACUAUGAAAGAUAAUUUUGACUCAUGAGGAACUCUCCAGGAGGGUAAGCACCAAAGUCAUAAUCUGGAUGCUUAGUGAACCGUAUACAGUGUUGUCAUUAGUGCUAACCCCACCAAAAGCCUCAUUCCCAUUUCCUGUUCUGGUUUCUUUCAUACUCUGGCUUUUCUCAACCUCCUGUGACAACUUUUUAUGUGCAGGGGCUUACACAAAAUGGGCAGAUUGUAUAAAUUUAGAGACUUGGUGUGAGAAAAAUACUGGUUUACCAAUUCAGAGGCUGAAAGAAGCACAGAAUUUCAGGUGGAGUUGGGGGGUCAUUUGGUCCAAGGAUAGCACACUGGUAUAACUGGCCUAAAGGCCUCCAGCAGCAUUUUCAUGGGUUCAGUAAUGUCACAAAAGAUUUUUAGGCAAGCAGGGCUCAGGUCUUGCCUUUUGCCUGCAUCCAUUACAGUCCUGUACACAUGGCCUUUGUACAGUCCGUACACAUGGCCUUUGCAUAGCUCAAGCUAGUCAUUUUUUUGGAGUGUCAGGCAAUAUUUUAAGGAUUGUUCAUAUACGAUUCAGUUAACUCUCACAAAACCCCUUCUGAGGUUGGUAUUAUUAUUUUUUUUAUUUAACCAUGAAGAAACUAAAGCCCAUAGAGGUUAAGUACUAGCUCUGUGUUAAGAGCUGAGUAAGCUCUUACUCAGCUGAGGGUAGAUAAGCUGAGAUUCCACCCUGAUCCCUGGCAACCUAGCACCUCACUCACCCACUGUUGAGUGACCAUUUGCUCUCAGUUUGAACACUCCAACAUAGGGAACUUAUGAUCUCCUAGAGUUGACCAAGAGGAUAAGCUCCGAAGACUCUAUUAGUAAAAUAAGAAUAAGAGGGCCAUGGAUGUUAGAAGGUAAAUCUCAAUCUGCUGUUGCCUCUGACAGCUUAAAAGCCAUCAGGUCAAAUGCCUCUAGUAAGGUUUGCACAGACUUUCAUAAUUUGGCACAUACUUGUCGCUUCAGCCUCAUUUCUUCCAGGCCUUCACGUGCCCUACCCUCCACCCUCUUUCUAGUAGUUUUCCAAGCGCAUCUUCCCUCCCCAUGUUUAUCUCUGUUUGUACAGGUUGCCUCUUCACUUGGAAGUCCUCAUCCUCCUCUUUCAGAUAACUUCAAGUGAUGGGGCCUGAAUGCAAGCAGACCAACGGAAAGGAGGAGGAAAGUGAGAGGAGCCCAGCCUUUUGGAAGUAGCAAUCAAGACUAGCAUGGGCAACGGGCACAGUGGCUCACGCCCAUAAUCCCAACACCUUGAGAGGCCGAGCUGCCAUGUGAAGAAGGACAUAUUUGCUUUCUCUUCUGCCAGGAUUGUAAGUUUCCUGAGGCCUCCCAGGAAUGCUGAAGUGUGAGACAAUUAAACAUUUUUCUUUAUAAA